CACUAUAACCAGAAAGGAUGUGCAGAGGC
rnacentral:piRNA from 1 species